GAUGAACGCUGGCGGCGUGCUUAACACAUGCAAGUCGAACGGUGAAGGUGGGAGCUUGCUCCUGCUGGAUCAGUGGCGAACGGGUGAGUAACACGUGAGUAACCUGCCCCGGACUCUGGGAUAAGCGUUGGAAACGACGUCUAAUACCGGAUACGAGACGAGAAGGCAUCUUCAUCGUCUGGAAAGAUUUUUUGGUCUGGGAUGGACUCGCGACCUAUCAGGUUGUUGGUGAGGUAAUGGCUCACCAAGCCUACGACGGGUAGCCGGCCUGAGGGGGUGACCGGCCACACUGGGACUGAGAGACGUCCCAGACGCCUACGGGAGGCAGCAGUGGGGAAUAUUGCACAAGGGGCGAAAGCCUGAUGCAGAAACGCCGCGUGAGGGACGACGGCCUUCGGGUUGUAAACCUCUUUUAGUAGAGAAGAAGCGAAAGUGACGGUACCUGCAGAAAAAGUACCGGCUAACUACGUGCCAGCCGCCGCCGUAA
rnacentral:rRNA from 1 species